rnacentral:rRNA from 1 species
UACGUAGGGUGCAAGCGUUGUCCGGAAUUAUUGGGCGUAAAGAGCUCGUAGGCGGUUCGUCGCGUCGGCUGUGAAAACCUGAGGCUCAACCUCAGGCCUGCAGUCGAUACGGGCGGACUUGAGUACUGCAGGGGAGACUGGAAUUCCUGGUGUAGCGGUGAAAUGCGCAGAUAUCAGGAGGAACACCGGUGGCGAAGGCGGGUCUCUGGGCAGUAACUGACGUGGAGGAAGCGAAAAGCGUGGGG